GACGUAGGGUGCAAGCGUUGUCCGGAUUUACUGGGCGUAAAGGGCGCGUAGGCGGCGCAACAAGUCACUUGUGAAAUCUCCGGGCUUAACCCGGAGCGGUCAAGUGAUACUGUCGUGCUAGAGUGCGGAAGGGGCUACUGGAAUUCUCGGUGUAGCGGUGAAAUGCGUAGAUAUCGAGAGGAACACCUGCGGCGAAGGCGGGUAGCUGGGCCGACACUGACGCUGAUGCGCGAAAGCCAGGGGAGCGAACGGG
rnacentral:rRNA from 1 species